CCAUGGAUCCAAAGGAACUCAGCAUAUAAUUAAAUCAAGACGUGCAUGUGUGAUGGAGUAAAUGAUAGUGAUGGUGAAAAUGCAUAAGUGAUAAUAAAAUUUACUUCUCAUUGCUCCUCAUAUUGCUAUCUCUCCUCUUCUUUGAUCUUUGCUUUGGGAGAACAUGGGCUAUCUUUUUUUCUCUCUUCUUCUUUUUUUUCAGGUGGGUAGUAGAUACCCCUAAUUCUACUGUCGGACACUUGUCCAUUUUUUCCGCUCAAGUGGGCAUCUUUGUACCCCUAAUUCUACUUCGGACACUUGUCCAUUUUUACCUCUCGUCUCACUUUCUUUUCUUUUUCGAGGUUCCGGGCACUUGCCCCUUUUUUAUUUCCUCGUAUAUUUUUGCAUAACCCAUGCCUCUUCUGCAUUGAAUCUUUUUAGAGAGAGAGAAUAACAAUAUUUAGGACAGUGAGUGAUAAUAUAUUUUUAGCAAUUUUAAUGAUUGAUGAUGAAUGCUGUGGUAGAUGUGUGCAAGUGAAUAUCUUAAUUUGACCACAUGAAAAGCUCCUAAGGGUCUACACAGCUCGAUCAAACUCAAUGUGAAUAUAGUGAAAGAUGUUAUAGCAAGUAUGGCUGUGGUAGGUAAUUUUGUUAUGCUAGGAACUCAUCAUGUGAUUUGUAUGUUUUCAAAAUAAAUCUCCAGAACUUAGUGUAGUAGGAACAAGAUAAACAAACAGUAGCUCAACGUUAUAUCAUGCCUUUCUCUUACCUAGACUUUAGUGUUAUGCUUCCCAAAGAUAGUAAUUUUAGUUUUAGUAAUUCCUGGAAGAACUCUAAUAUAAAAGCUAGGUACUUGUAAGUAAGCAAACAGAGCAACUGUUCAUCAUUUCCAUCAUGCAUAUUUUUGGUCUUUUUUAUUUUUUUCUAGAGAUUAAACUUAGCAGAAAAAUAAAACACACUUAUCUACACACUCUUUUUUAUUUUGUUUUCGUGUUUAUAAAGUGCAGUAAAUUAAAGCAAGAAAAUAUUUAUUUAGUUUUCUAAAUUUUCCUUUUAAGGUAAAUCAAAUACUAGAAUAAAAAAGAAUAAAUAAGA
rnacentral:lncRNA from 1 species